rnacentral:rRNA from 1 species
CAGUCGCCGCGGUAAUACAGAGGAUGCAAGCGUUAUCCGGAAUGAUUGGGCGUAAGGCGUCUGUAGGUGGCUUUUCAAGUCCGCCAUCAAAUCCCAGGGCUCAACCCUGGACAGGCAGUGGAAACUACCAAGCUGGAGUACGGUAGGGGCAGAGGGAAUUUCCGGUGGAGCAGUGAAAUGCGUUGAGAUUGGAAAGAACACCAACGGCGAAAGCACUUUGCUGGGCCGACACUGACAUUGAGAGACGAAAUCUAGGGGAGCAAAUGGGAUUAGAUACCCGGGUAGUCCCUGUCUCUUAUAC